rnacentral:rRNA from 1 species
CCUACGGGAGGCAGCAGUGGGGAAUAUUGGACAAUGGGCGAAAGCCUGAUCCAGCCAUGCCGCGUGUGUGAAGAAGGCCUUCGGGUUGUAAAGCACUUUCAGUGGGGAAGAAAGCCUUGGGGCUAAUACCCUCGAGGAAGGACAUCACCCACAGAAGAAGCACCGGCUAACUCCGUGCCAGCAGCCGCGGUAAUACGGAGGGUGCGAGCGUUAAUCGGAAUUACUGGGCGUAAAGCGCGCGUAGGCGGUCUGAUCAGCCGGUUGUGAAAGCCCCGGGCUCAACCUGGGAACGGCAUCCGGAACUGUCAGGCUAGAGUGCAGGAGAGGAAGGUAGAAUUCCCGGUGUAGCGGUGAAAUGCGUAGAGAUCGGGAGGAAUACCAGUGGCGAAGGCGGCCUUCUGGACUGACACUGACGCUGAGGUGCGAAAGCGUGGGUAGCAAACAGGAUUAGAUACCCGAGUAGUC